rnacentral:rRNA from 1 species
CAGCCGCCGCGGUAAUACGGAGGGUGCAAGCGUUAAUCGGAAUUACUGGGCGCAAAGCGCACGCAGGCGGUUUGUUAAGUCAGAUGUGAAAUCCCCGAGCUUAACUUGGGAACUGCAUUUGAAACUGGCAAGCUAGAGUCUUGUAGAGGGGGGUAGAAUUCCAGGUGUAGCGGUGAAAUGCGUAGAGACCUGGAGGAAUACCGGUGGCGAAGGCGGCCCCCUGGACAAAGACUGACGCUCAGAUGCGAAAGCGUGGGGAGCAAACAGGAUUAGAUACCCCGGUAGUCCCUGUCUCUUAUAC